AUUGAACGCUGGCGGCAGGCCUAACACAUGCAAGUCGAACGAGUGGCGGACGGGUGAGUAAUGUCUGGGAAACUGCCUGAUGGAGGGGGAUAACUACUGGAAACGUUAGCUAAUACCGCAUACCAUCGGAUGUGCCCAGAUUGGAUUAGCUAGUAGGUGGGGUAACGGCUCACCUAGGCGACGCUCCAUAGCUGGUCUGCGAGGAUGACCAGCCACACUGGAACUGAGACACGGUCCAGACUCCUACGGGAGGAAGCAGUGGGGAAUAUUGUACAAUGGGCGCAAGCCUGAUGCAGCCAUGCCGCGUGUAUGAAGAAGGCCUUCGGGUUGUAAAGUACUUUCAGCGGGGAGGCGUUACCUGCAGAAGAAGCACCGGCUAACUCCGUGCCAGCAGCCGCGGUAAUAC
rnacentral:rRNA from 1 species